ensembl:rRNA 5S_rRNA 5S ribosomal RNA
AGUCUAUGCCAUACCAUCCUGAAUGUGCCCAAUCUUGCCUGAUACUGGAAGCUAAGCAGGGCUGGGCCUGUUUAGUACUUGGAGGAUUGGGGGGAGGGAGAAAGAGCUAUUUAUAUCU